rnacentral:lncRNA from 1 species
UUUUAUACUGUUUUUCAUUUUUCUCGCUAAACAUAAAUACCUAUUAGAAUCGUAGUUAUUUCCUUCCACUGAAACUUAACCUAGUAAUAACAGAAUCUAUAACAAUCAAAAUACAUCAGCUUUUUUUAAAUAGGUUAUCAGAUUUGGAUACUUGGAAAUAAACUAUUUUCCCUUUAAGCAUUACAUUUGCAUGUAAAAUUUAAUGUAUAACACAUUAUAAGUGAACUACUG